rnacentral:rRNA from 1 species
CCUACGGGGGGCAGCAGUGAGGAAUAUUGGUCAAUGGUCGGGAGACUGAACCAGCCAAGCCGCGUGAGGGAUGAAGGUACAGAGUAUCGUAAACCUCUUUUGUCAGGGAACAAAGGCGGGGACGUGUCCCCGGAUGAGUGUACCUGAAGAAAAAGCAUCGGCUAACUCCGUGCCAGCAGCCGCGGUAAUACGGAGGAUGCGAGCGUUAUCCGGAUUUAUUGGGUUUAAAGGGUGCGCAGGCGGUCUGUUAAGUCAGCGGUCAAAGCCCGGGGCUCAACCCCGGCCCGCCGUUGAAACUGGCAGUCGCGAGUUGGAGAGAAGUAUGCGGAAUGCGCGGUGUAGCGGUGAAAUGCAUAGAUAUCGCGCAGAACUCCGAUUGCGAAGGCAGCAUGCCGGCUCCACACUGACGCUGAGGCAUGAAAGCGUGGGUAUCGAACAGGAUUAGAUACCCUUGUAGUC